rnacentral:rRNA from 1 species
AUUGAACGCUGGCGGCAUGCCUUACACAUGCAAGUCGAACGGCAGCACGGGAGCAAUCCUGGUGGCGAGUGGCGAACGGGUGAGUAAUAUAUCGGAACGUGCCCGGUCGUGGGGAUAACGUAGCGAAAGCUACGCUAAUACCGCAUACGAUCUACGGAUGAAAGCGGGGGGAUCGCAAGACCUCGCGCGAUUGGAGCGGCCGAUAUCAGAUUAGGUAGUUGGUGAGGUAAAGGCUCACCAAGCCGACGAUCUGUAGCUGGUCUGAGAGGACGACCAGCCACACUGGGACUGAGACACAGCCCAGACUCCUACGGGAGGCAGCAGUGGGGAAUUUUGGACAAUGGGCGCAAGCCCUGAUCCAGCAAUGCCGCGUGCAGGAUGAAGGCC